AAAAAGCCACACGAAAUGCUUAGUUGAUUAUGGUUGACUUGUGUGUACCACACAAGGCACCACAUCUAAUCAUCUGGUCUCAUACCUCUUUCAUCUUCUGGCAGCAGGGACAUUAAUCACACAGGUUUUAGCUUUCUUAAGGUUUCCAUGGUGCUGGUGGGGGAGGCGGAGUAGGGAACAACGGAGGAACAGCUGAGAAGAUCGUAUUUUUGUCUAUAGUACCAGAUGCCUCUUCUUCACCCGACAAUGCCACGAGUGCUGCGACCAGGCCAGCAUUCCCUGCAAGAGUUGGUUCAGUGUAGUUGUAGUUGGUCCGGACAUCGCGGAACCCAUCGCGCUUGUCAGGACCAGCAACCAUGGCUCCUUCAAUCGUGUUUGGGUUCGGUUUCUUG
rnacentral:lncRNA from 1 species